rnacentral:rRNA from 1 species
GCGGCCUAUCAGCUUGUUGGUGAGGUAAAAGCUCACCAAGGCGACGACGGGUAGCCGGCCUGAGAGGGUGACCGGCCACACUGGAACUGAGAUACGGUCCAGACUCCUACGGGAGGCAGCAGUGGGGAAUAUUGCACAAUGGGCGCAAGCCUGAUGCAGCAACGCCGCGUGAGGGAUGAAGGCCUUCGGGUUGUAAACCUCUUUUAUCAGGGAAGAAGCGAAAGUGACGGUACCUGAAGAAAAAGCACCGGCUAACUACGUGCCAGCAGCCGCGGUAAUACGUAGGGUGCAAGCGUUGUCCGGAAUUAUUGGGCGUAAAGAGCUCGUAGGUGGUUCGUUACGUCGGAUGUGAAAAUCUGGGGCUCAACCCCAGACCUGCAUUCGAUACGGGCGAGCUAGAGUUUGGUAGGGGAGACUGGAAUUCCU